rnacentral:rRNA from 1 species
UACGUAGGGUGCGAGCGUUAAUCGGGAUUACUGGGCGUAAAGCGUGCGCAGGCGGUUUGCUAAGACCGAUGUGAAAUCCCCGGGCUCAACCUGGGAACUGCAUUUGUGACUGCAUCGCUGGAGUGCGGCAGAGGGGGAUGGAAUUCCGCGUGUAGCAGUGAAAUGCGUAGAUAUGCGGAGGAACACCGAUGGCGAAGGCAAUCCCCUGGGCCUGCACUGACGCUCAUGCACGAAAGCGUGGGGAGCAAACAGG